rnacentral:rRNA from 1 species
GACGAACGCUGGCGGCGUGCUUAACACAUGCAAGUCGAACGGAAAGGCCCUGCUUUUGUGGGGUGCUCGAGUGGCGAACGGGUGAGUAACACGUGAGUGACCUGCCCUUGACUUUGGGAUAACUUCAGGAAACUGGGGCUAAUACCGGAUAGGAGCUCCUGCUGCAUGGUGGGGGUUGGAAGGUUUCGGCGGUUGGGGAUGGACUCGCGGCUUAUCAGCUUGUUGGUGGGGUAGUGGCUUACCAAGGCUUUGACGGGUAGCCGGCCUGAGAGGGUGACCGGCCACAUUGGGACUGAGAUACGGCCCAGACUCCUACGGGAGGCAGCAGUGGGGAAUAUUGCACAAUGGGCGGAAGCCUGAUGCAGCAACGCCGCGUGCGGGAUGACGGCCUUCGGGUCGUAAACCGCUUUCGCCUGUGACGAAGCGUGAGUGACGGUAAUGGGUAAAGAAGCACCGGCUAACUACGUGCCAGCAGCCGCGGUGAUACGUAGGGUGCGAGCGUUGUCCGGAUUUAUUGGGCGUAAAGGGCUCGUAGGUGGUUGAUCGCGUCGGAAGUGUAAUCUUGGGGCUUAACCCUGAGCGUGCUUUCGAUACGGGUUGACUUGAGGAAGGUAGGGGAGAAUGGAAUUCCUGGUGGAGCGGUGGAAUGCGCAGAUAUCAGGAGGAACACCAGUGGCGAAGGCGGUUCUCUGGGCCUUUCCUGACGCUGAGGAGCGAAAGCGUGGGGAGCGAACAGGCUUAGAUACCCUGGUAGUCCACGCUGUAAACGGUGGGUACUAGGUGUGGGGUCCAUUCCACGGGUUCCGUGCCGUAGCUAACGCUUUAAGUACCCCGCCUGGGGAGUACGGCCGCAAGGCUAAAACUCAAAGGAAUUGACGGGGCCCCGCACAAGCGGCGGAGCAUGCGGAUUAAUUCGAUGCAACGCGUAGAACCUUACCUGGGUUUGACAUGGAUCGGGAGUGCUCAGAGAUGGGUGUGCCUCUUUUGGGGUCGGUUCACAGGUGGUGCAUGGCUGUCGUCAGCUCGUGUCGUGAGAUGUUGGGUUAAGUCCCGCAACGAGCGCAACCCUUGUUCACUGUUGCCAGCACGUUAUGGUGGGGACUCAGUGGAGACCGCCGGGGUCAACUCGGAGGAAGGGGGGGAUGACGUCAAGUCAUCAUGCCCCUUAUGUCCAGGGCUUCACGCAUGCUACAAUGGCUGGUGCAGAGAGUGGCGAGCCUGUGAGGGUGAGCGAAUCUCGGAAAGCCGGUCUCAGUUCGGAUUGGGGUCUGCAACUCGACCUCAUGAAGUCGGAGUCGCUAGUAAUCGCAGAUCAGCAACGCUGCGGUGAAUACGUUCCCGGGGCUUGUACACACCGCCCGUCAAGUCAUGAAAGUUGGUAACACCCGAAGCCGGUGGCCUAACCGUUGUGGGGGAGCCGUCGAAGGUGGGACUGGUGAUUAGGACUAAGUCGUAACAAGGUAGCCGUACCGGAAGG